UACGGAGGAUGCAAGCGUUAUCCGGAAUGAUUGGGCGUAAAGAGUCCGUAGGUGGCCCUUCAAGUCUGCUGUUAAAGAGCGAGGCUUAACUUCGGAAAAGCAGUGGAAACUGGAGAGCUAGAGUGUAGUAGGGGCAGAGGGAAUUCCUGGUGUAGCGGUGAAAUGCGUAGAGAUCAGGAAGAACACCGGUGGCGAAAGCGCUCUGCUGGGCUACAACUGACACUGAGGGACGAAAGCUAGGGGAGCGAAUGGGAUUAGAUACCCCAGUAGUCCUAGCGGUAAACGAUGGAAACUAGGUGUGGCCUGUAUCGACCCGGGCCGUGCCGGAGCAAACGCGUUAAGUUUCCCGCCUGGGGAGUACGCACGCAAGUGUGAAACUCAAAGGAAUUGACGGGGGCCCGCACAAGCGGUGGAGUAUGUGGUUUAAUUCGAUGCAACGCGAAGAACCUUACCAGGACUUGACAUCUCUGGAAUCCGUCUGAAAGGGUGGAGUGCCUUAGGGAACCAGAAGACAGGUGCUGCAUGGCUGUCGUCAGCUCGUGUCGUGAGAUGUUGGGUUAAGUCCCGCAACGAGCGCAACCCUCGUCGUUAGUUGCCAUCAUUAAGUUGGGAACUCUAGCGAGACUGCCGGUGACAAACCGGAGGAAGGUGAGGAUGACGUCAAGUCAGCAUGGCCCUUACGUCCUGGGCGACACACGUACUACAAUGCUAAGGGCAGAGAGCAGCCAACCCGCGAGGGAGAGCGAAUCUCAUAAACCUUGGCACAGUUCAGAUUGAAGCUUGCAACUCAGCUUCAUGAAGGAGGAAUCGCUAGUAAUCGCAGGUCAGCACACUGCGGUGAAUCCGUUCCCGGGCCU
rnacentral:rRNA from 1 species